AUGAGAUGCACACACACACUCACUCAGAUGCAGACACACACCACACACUUGUACUCAGUCUCACACACCACACCACACACUCACAGAUACACACUCACUCACACAGGACACACACCACACCACACACUCACUCACACUCAGAUGCAGACACACACCACACCUCACACAGAUGCACACACACAGAUGCAGACACGCACCACACCUCACACUCACAGAUGCACACACACUCAGAUGCAGACACACACCACACCUCACACUCACAGAUGCACACACUCAGAUGCAGACACACACCACACAGUUGUACUCAGUCUCAGACACACACCACACACAUUCACAGAUGCACACACACUCACACUUAGAUGCAGACACACCACACCACACACUCACACAGGACACACACCACACCACGCACUCACACAGGACACACUCACACUCAGAUGCAGACACACACCAAACCACACACUCACAGAUGCACACACGCUCACACUUAGAUGCAGACACACACCACACCACACGCUCACUCACACAGGACACACACACAGAUGCAGACACACACCACACCACAUGCUCACUCACACAGGACACACACACAAAUGCAGACACACACCACACCACACACUCACUCAUGCAGGACACACACACAGAUGCAGACACACACCACACCACACACUCACUCACGCAGGACACACACCACACCACACACUCACACAGGACACACACCACACCACACACUCACUCACACUCAGAUGCAGACACACACCACACCUCACACAGAUGCACACACACAGAUGCAGACACGCACCACACCUCACACUCACAGAUGCACACACUCAGAUGCAGACACACACCACACCUCACACUCACAGAUGCACACACUCAGAUGCAGACACACACCACACAGUUGUACUCAGUCUCAGACACACACCACACACAUUCACAGAUGCACACACACUCACACUUAGAUGCAGACACACCACACCACACACUCACACAGGACACACACCACACCACGCACUCACACAGGACACACUCACACUCAGAUGCAGACACACACCAAACCACACACUCACAGAUGCACACACGCUCACACUUAGAUGCAGACACACACCACACCACACGCUCACUCACACAGGACACACACACAGAUGCAGACACACACCACACCACACACUCACGCAGGACACACACUCACUUGCACACUCACACCACCCACUCAAGGGCCCGCUGCGGGUGGCAGAGGACAGAUGUGCUGCCGUGGGAGGUGUGGGCCAUAAAAGGUGGUGCAGGCACAGCUGGCAGGAGCUGUGA
rnacentral:lncRNA from 1 species